rnacentral:rRNA from 1 species
CGCCUUAUACUCCUACGGGAGGCAGCAGUAGGGAAUAUUGGGCAAUGCUCGCAAGAGUGACCCAGCCAUGCCGCGUGCAGGAAGAAGGCCUUCUGGGUUGUAAACUGCUUUUGGAAGGGAACAAAACGACACUGCGGUGUAACUUGAGUGUACCUUCAGAAUAAGCACCGGCUAACUCCGUGCCAGCAGCCGCGGUAAUACGGAGGGUGCAAGCGUUGUCCGGAUUUAUUGGGUUUAAAGGGUGCGUAGGCGGCCUGUUAAGUCAGAGGUGAAAGACUAUUGCUCAACAAUGGCAGUGCCUUUGAUACUGAUAGGCUUGAGUAUAGAUGAGGCUGGCGGAAUGGGUGGUGUAGCGGUGAAAUGCAUAGAUACCAUCCAGAACACCGAUUGCGAAGGCAGCCGGCUAAACUACAACUGACGCUGAGGCACGAAAGCGUGGGGAUCGAACAGGAUUAGAAACCCUAGUAGUCCACGUACCA